rnacentral:lncRNA from 1 species
GCUGCAAGCUUCACGUGCUCAACUUUGGCAGAGAACUUUGGCAAAGUUAUCUGUGGUACCCAUGAGCUAUUGUUGCGUGUGGGAAGUGGGUGAUUGAACAGUAAGAUUCAUGUGCUUUCUACUUCACCAGAAGUCUUCGACAGAAUGCCCAUAAUUUCCGCAAAGCUGAGUGUGCGUGUGACAAGUGCUGACAAGGCUGGAAAAGUAGGUGCCUCUUCGAUUUCUGAGAUCGACCCUCGUGGUCUCUGAGCAGCCCAGAUUUUGAGAAAGCAAGCGCCUCUUCGAUUUUUGAGAAAGCAAUCAUGCUGGGGGUCUGGCUCUCGAGAUUCGGAGAGCGGUGUCUCUUCGAAUUUUGAGAAAGUAAUCAUGUUGGGAGUCUGGCUCUCGAGAUUCGGAGGGCGGUGCCUCUUCGAUUUUGGAGCAAGCAAUAUUGUUGGGAGUGUUUUCUCGAAUGUGAGUAAAGGUUGGGCAUGUUUGCUAGUCUACCUUGCCACGAAGCACAGAGGUUGACACACAGGGACUUUCCAAUUAUCCAGCAAUGGUACUGUUCCUUUACCCUCUCUUUCGAUUUUUGAGAAAGUAAUCAUGUUGGGAGUCUGGCUCUCGAGAUUCGGAGGGCGGUGCCUCUUCGAUUUUGGAGCAAGCAAUCUUGUGGAGUGUUUUCUCGAAUGUGAGUAAAGGUUGGGCAUGUUUGCUAGUCUACCUUGCUACGAAGCACAGAGGUUGACACACAGGGACUUUCCAAUUAUCCAGCAGUGGUACUGUUCCUUUACCCUUGUGGGUAAUAAUAUGGUAGCUAGACCUUCAAAAUUUAUGUGUCUAAACUUUGUUAGUACUGUUUCUUUGCUAUUCUUUUACCCUUCUUGGUUAGAGCGAUGUAGUAAGAGCUGCAAGCUUCACGUGCUCAACUUUGGCAGAGAACUUUGGCAAAGUUAUCUGUGGUACCCAUGAGCUAUUGUUGCGUGUGGGAAAUGGGUGAUUGAGCAGUAAGAUUCAUGUGCUUUCUACUUUACCAGAAGUCUUUGACAGAAUGCCCAUAAUUUCCACAAAGCUGAGUGUGCGUGUGAUAGGUGCUGACAAGGCUGGAAAAGUAGGUGCCUCUUCGAUUUCUGAGAUCGGCCCUCGUGGUCUCUGAGCAGCCCAACUUUUGAGAAAGCGAGCGCCUCUUCGAUUUCUGAGAUUGGCCUUCGUGGUCUUCGAGCAGCCCAGCUUUUGAGAAAGCAAACGCCUCUUCGAUUUCUGAGAUCAACCCUCGUGGUCUCUGAGCAGCCCAACUUUUGAGAAAGCAAACGCCUCUUCGAUUUCUGAAGCUCCGUCGAGUGCAGAUUUUUAUAGGGGCUGGCAUUAAGUUCUAAAGCACACUUGAAAUCCACCAGUAGAAGCUCCAUUCUUGCACUUCUAAGAUCUUGAUUUAUCCGACCUCUUCUCUCUUCAACACCUUUGAAAAUGUCUG